GAUGAACGCUGGCGGCGUGCCUAAUACAUGCAAGUCGAGCGAACGGACGAGAAGCUUGCUUCACUGAUGUUAGCGACGGACGGGUGAGUAACACGUGGAUAACCUACCUAUAAGACUGGGAUAACUUCGGGAAACCGGAGCUAAUACCGGAUAAUAUUUUGAACCGCAUGGUUCAAAAGUGAAAGACGGUCUUGCUGUCACUUCUAGAUGGAUCCGCGCUGCAUUAGCUAGUUGGUAAGGUAACGGCUUACCAAGGCAACGAUGCAUAGCCGACCUGAGAGGGUGAUCGGCCACACUGGAACUGAGACACGGUCCAGACUCCGACGGGAGGCAGCAGUAGGGAAGCUUCCGCAAUGGGCGAAAGCCUGACGGAGCAACGCCGCGUGAGUGAUGAAGGGCUUCGGAUCGUAAAACUCUGUUAUUAGGGAAGAACAUAUGUGUAAGUAACUGUGCACAUCUUGACGGUACCUAAUCAGAAAGCCACGGCUAACUACGUG
rnacentral:rRNA from 1 species